UCCUUUUGAAAUUCAUAAUGCCUACACACAAACAGGGACAAAAUUACACCAUAAACUUCUGAACUAGUAAGCUAUACUUCAGGCUGUAUCUAAAUGAGUCUGAAUACUCGAUCAAUGAAAGGCAAAACUCAACCCAGAUCCGCUAAACUAAGGCAGAAAUGGUUUGAAACGAGCAUCAUGCAACCUAUAGCUAUGAAACACAUUCAGUACCAACUAACUUCACAAUCAAACUGGGUAGUGCGGCCUUCAGUUCAUACACAUUAUACUGAAUCCAGAAGACUUUCAUGAACCAACUACACUUAAGCAAAAAACUCAUAUCUAGCCCUUAGGACAAAAAAUGCAGCCAUGGUGACAUGAAUAACUCAUAAAAGGCUAAACUAAAAGGAAACCAGAAUGAAAUACAAGAAAACUAGUAAAAACAAAAAUGAAGAGUCAAAAACAAAAAUUAACAGUGUCAUCUCGUCAAUUUGAGUUACAUAGCUUCACAUACAACUCGAUUGAGUUUCAUUUCCAUUCAUGGUUUGAAGGAAUACCUGGAAAUGAAAGAAAAUAAGAGGUGAAGGAUCAGCAGUAGCAGUAUAGCAGAACCCAACAACAGGCAGUAACCAGUAGAAACAAUUUCAAACUCAAAAUGAGGUGCAAUAGUCCAAAACCCAAUUUCAGUCGAACAAUAACCCAACAGAAAUCAAAACCAAACUUUUAAAGACUCGAACUCAACCCAUUUCAACCCCAAAUAAAGCAAAAUUACUACAGGAAUUUGAAGACCUCUAUAUUCAAAGCAGAAAGUUCAUUGGAAUAGUGUUUUUUAUUCAAUUUUUAGCCAUUUGCGAUUUUUCUGAAAUUUCUUCCUUCAGCUCUCUUUGGUCUGCCUUGAAAGGCAAGAAAGACUGCCUUUAUAGGCAAGGCACCAGGGCAGCAAAGAAUGGGUUCGGUUUUGCACUUGAACCCUUUUUGAAUUUUUAUUUUUGCUCUCAUGUCCUCAGUUUUAGAAUCAACAUUUCAUAUAAGCCCCAAUCCCAGCUUCUAGGAAGCUUCCUAGGCAGUUAUUUUAGAUAUUCUCUCAACCAAUUACCUAAACUACCCUCGAACCCCGAUUAUUUACUCUAGGAACCCAACCUAGCAGAACCCCUGUUGAUACUAGACAAACCGAAUGGUCCAUGGGUCAAUUUGGACCAACUGUUCAACCCCAAAUGAACCGGAAUAGACCCAAAACCUAACCCUCAAGAUCAAAGAUCUAUUCGGCCCAACCAGCAGUUAUCUGAUUAUCAAAUAACAUAGAACAAUUACAACUUUAGCCUAAAUGGUUUACUAACUAAACUUAACUAAACUAACAAUUUUAAAACUAACCUAAGAAGACUCCAAUUACUCAUGCAUGAAUGAAUAGACUCCGGAAAAAAUGAAGAAUGAUUCGAGGAGAGGAAAAGAAACAGAAAAUUAAAAAACAAACCAAAGACAGAUUAAACCAAAAGAAGAAAAGAAGAAUACCUAAGAAAAGUUCGAAAAUGAACAGGGGAGACUGGGUGUUCAGAUCCUCGGAUUUUCCGGCCAAAUUUUAUGUUAAUCAUGCGCUCUAACAAAGAAUUUGACAUGAAAUUUUGCCAACACUUGACUUGGGAUUUCUAGGGCUCGUUUCUGAUCUAAGAUUCAAGAAACUAGGGCAAUAUUCGAGGGUAAUGGAGUAUGGAUUUGGAAAGAGGGGAGUGAGGAGGCUAUAAGGUGUGAUUUUUGUGGCAUUUGGAGGUGGCGCCGCUGUCGGAGGCCGGAGAUUUGGGGGCAGCUUAGCUAGGGUUUUGGGGGUGUUUCUGGUGAGGGUGGUGAGCAGAUGGGGAUUC
rnacentral:lncRNA from 1 species